rnacentral:rRNA from 1 species
UCCCCAGACUCCUACGGGAGGCAGCAGUGAGGAAUAUUGGUCAAUGGUCGGGAGACUGAACCAGCCAAGCCGCGUGAGGGAUGAAGGUACAGAGUAUCGUAAACCUCUUUUGUCAGGGAACAAAGGCGGGGACGUGUCCCCGGAUGAGUGUACCUGAAGAAAAAGCAUCGGCUAACUCCGUGCCAGCAGCCGCGGUAAUACGGAGGAUGCGAGCGUUAUCCGGAUUUAUUGGGUGUAAAGGGUGCGUAGGCGGUAAUACAGGUCUGUGGUAUAAGCCCGAAGCUUAACUUCGGUUCGCCACAGAAACCGUAUAACUAGAGUAUGGUAGAGGCAAGUGGAAUUUCUAGUGUAGCGGUAAAAUGCGUAGAUAUUAGAAGGAACACCAGUGGCGAAGGCGACUUGCUGGGCCAAAACUGACGCUGAGGCACGAAAGCGUGGGGAGCGAAUAGGAUUAGAUACCCCAGUA